GCCUGGGUGGCUCAGCCAGUUGAGCGUCUGACUUCGGUUCAGGUAAUGAUGUCACGGUUUGUGGGUUCGAGCCCUGUGUCAGGUU
rnacentral:tRNA from 1 species